CUUGGUGACUCUAGCGGUGAGGGUACACCCGGUAACAUGCCGAACCCGGAAGUUAAGCUCAUCAGCGCUGAUGGUACUUGGGGGGCAGCCCCCUGGGAGAGUAGGUCGUUGCCAAGA
rnacentral:rRNA from 1 species